rnacentral:tRNA from 1 species
UCCUCGAUAAUAGAGUGGUGAGUAUCCCCGCCUGUCACGCGGAGAAACCGGGGUUCGAUUCCCCGUCGGGGAG